UACGGGAGGCAGCAGGGGGGAAUAUUGCACAAUGGGCGCAAGCCUGAUGCAGCCAUGCCGCGUGUAUGAAGAAGGCCUUCGGGUUGUAAAGUACUUUCAGUCGUGAGGAAGGUGUUAAGGUUAAUAACCUUAGCAAUUGACGUUAGCGACAGAAGAAGCACCGGCUAACUCCGUGCCAGCAGCCGCGGUAAUACGGAGGGUGCGAGCGUUAAUCGGAAUUACUGGGCGUAAAGGGCACGCAGGCGGUUAAUUAAGUUGGAUGUGAAAUCCCCGGGCUUAACCUGGGAAUGGCAUUCAAGACUGGUUAGCUAGAGUCUUGUAGAGGGGGUAGAAUUCCAUGUGUAGCGGUGAAAUGCGUAGAGAUGUGGAGGAAUACCGGUGGCGAAGGCGGGCCCCUGGACAAAGACUGACGCUCAUGUGCGAAAGCGUGGGGAGCAAACAGGGAUUAGAUACC
rnacentral:rRNA from 1 species